UUGUCGCUUCACUCUAACGAGACAUUUUAACACGCUACCAAAUCAAAUAAAAAUAAUCCCCUCACUCUGUACUAAUAAACUAGACUGAAGCAACCUGUCUACACUCGUUUAGUCGGCGUUUUAGUUGUCGGAAAGCAGUGGUGGGAGAAACUACUUACUCAAGUAAAUAGAAAUUGUUUCUAUUCAAUUGACUAAACAGUUUACUAAAUUAGGUAUUUGCGCAAGUACUAUUUCAAGUUGUUUUCACCAUACAAGUAACUAAAUUUAGCUACUUGAUUUGGUAACUUGCUUUAGGUACUUGACACGUUUAAAAUCGGCUAUAUUUUUAAGUUUUAUGCAUUUUUAGUUAUUUAGUUUUGAUACUGUCAAAAGAUAAAAAAGAAGAAGAGGGGACCUUGAUAAAAACAUAGUAGCUAGUAAACCUGAUAAUGAAAGUAUUAAUAAAUAAAACUACUAGUAAAUAAAUAUAUUUUUAAUAAAAGAAGCAAUUGAACAAUAAACAACGAUACAUGGUGUCAGAAGCUUAGUCGAAAAUCGCCGACAGCUUAAAAAGAAUAAAAAAUAAAAGUUAGACAGAAGCCAUUUUCCCUCCAAUAAAUAUAAUAAAAAACGAGAAGUUAAAAAUAAGAAAAUCGUACGGAUGUAUCAAAAGUGUAGUGAAAAAUGGAAUACUUCAAGUCCCCGGAAGCGUUUAACGUACAGGAGCCACAUGGAUGGUCCAAAUGGAAGCAAAUAUUUGAAAUAUUUUUGUUAGCUUCAGGAAAAAGCACUACUUGUAUAUCUAUAAUACAUUUGAAACAACCAAAACUUCAAAACUAGAUGAUGUGUUAUUUUGUUUUGAUGAUCAUUUCUUACCCAAAGAAAUGACAAACAGCACCAAAUCAAGUGGUAAGAACGAGGUAAUUAUUCUAAUUCCAAAUAGCCAGAAAACAGGAGGCAGGAAGAAUAUCGGUCAAAUGAACAAGAUGAAGCUGAGGCUAAGAAACUAACAUCAGAAGUACAGGUUUUGGGCAAUGUAAACUCAGAAUUCAGAUAUUAUAAGUAGGGACAAUGGAGGUAUUGAGAAUUCUAUUUUUAUUAAUGAGCAUAAGCCAAAUAUUAAAAACAAUAGCUGGUAUGAACCUAUUACUGUUAACAAUAUGGACAAUUGACAUUAUGUUUAAGCUUGAAACAGGAGCUGAAUCUAGCGUUGUACCUUUGAAAUAUUUUAAUGAUCUAAAUGUUGAUAAAUCUAAAAUUAUUUCAACAUCCAUGACAAUAAUUUCCUAUUGAAAUUUUAAAUCGAAACCUCUAGGUCACAUAAUACUUGAGUGUUUUUAUAAAAGUCAAUUUAAAAAUGUUGAAUUUUUUAUAGUUGAUUUAGAGUCAGGGCCUUCACUGGAGUUAGGUGAUUGUUUACAUUUUAACAUGAUAUCUAGAGUAAGUAUAGUAGAAGAUGAAAUACCAGUUAUACAAACACAAAGGAAGGUACCAUUGGCCUUUAAUGAAAAACUCAAAUCAACGUUAGAUGAUCUUGAACAAAAAAGUAUAAUUUCUAAAGUUGAGUAUCCAACUGAUUGGGUUAAUUCAUUGAUGAUUAUUAAGAAUUCUAAUGGAUUACUUUGUUUGUGUUUAGAUCCAAAACCAUUGAACAAAUAUAUUUGUCGAGAGCAUUAUAUUAUUCCUAGGUGUGACGAAAUUUUAGCUAAGCUGGAAGGAAAAGCAAUUUAAUCUGUAAUUUAACUUUGAUAAGCUGCAAUAUAAAAUGGCAUUGUUAAUUUGUUAGAUCAAAUCAUAACAAAAAAUGGAACACAACCUUCUAAAAAAAAUGUACAAGCUGUUUCGGCUAUUGAAAAACUUUUAGACACAAGAUAUUUACCUAGUCCUACAGAACUAGAAUUCACUAUUCAUGCACUCUCUUUAACUGUACCGAUGUCUGCAGAAAAGGAAAUUGUUUUUCAAAAUUCUGUUAAUAAUGAUUGUUGAAUAACUCAUAGCCCAACACUGAUAAAAAGUUGACUUCUGAAUUGAAAUAUUCCUUUAACUUGAGACAUAACAAAUAUUUUUCUGACAAUUUGCUAUUUUACAACAUAGAAAUUGUUGUUCCUUCUGAAACUUAUAAGUAUUAGGUUUAAAUUAAUACAUUUGACCAACUUUGGAAUGUAAAAAUGUAAAUUACAAUCACGUAAAAUUGUGAUAUGGCUCAAAAUGUCUAAAGAUAUUGAGAACUAUGUAAGAAAUUGUGAAACUUGUCAAUUCAAUAGGCCAGCUAACCCGAAAGAGACUCUUGUACCACAUAAAACACCAGAAAGGGGGCGUCCAUAAAUUACGUGAGACAUUUUUUAGGAUUUUUCGACUCCCCACCCUCCUGAUGAGAUUUCGUAAGAUUUUUCUUUACUACCUCUCCCCCCUCCCCCAUUCUCACGUGAGAUUUUUUAUAAUGUGUUUUUGGCUGUAAAAUUCAUUGGAUUUGAAAAAAAUACAAAAAAAAAAAUUUGCUCUAUCACUUUUAUUAAAGACUAGUAUACAAUUGUGAUUUGAGAAUAUUGCCUUAGUUUAAAAUCACUGUGAUGAAAUUAAAUAAUAAAUACUUCAACGUAAAUUAAUAAGAGAUUAUUCUAAUUCAGUCCAUGGAGACUCGUGUACUCUCAAGAGUGUCUACUAGAACCAACGUAUUCAAAUAAUUUUCAAUGAAAUCAUCUGCUCCUUCAACUUCGUUCUGAUUGAGCCACUCCAAACCGUUGUCGCUUGCACACAGUCGCUUGUCUUGAAACAAUACGCGAUGGUCGCAAUUUAAGUGUUUGCACAUCUCGUGCAUGAUGAUGGAUGCGAAAUAGAUACCACAUGUAUUGCAGCAUCUCUUUUCUAUAUCGUGACGUAAACUUGGACAAUAGAGGUCAUCAUAAGGCAUGCUUGUGAAGGUGUGUAAUGGUUGAAUAGGUAGGCAGUGGCGAAUGAAGAAUGUUGCAAAUGUUUUUCCAUCAUGCUGUUCAGGAUCCGGAAUCGCCGGAUCUCCAUUAACUUGAAUGGGAUAUGGAGGUAAUAAAAAAAGAUCAUGUAAAGAACUCCGACGCGGAUUGCAGAUUGUUUUACCGUGGAGUCAAGAUGUGUCUCAAAAGAGUCAUGGGGAAGAACAACACCUGAUAGUUCUCGGCUAAGUGGAGCCAUGCGUCUCUCUACUCUAUUGAAAGCACUUCUGCCGGGGCAUUAGUCCCAAUGAAUAUUGUGUCAAAUUCAUAUUUUUUAAAAUGCUGUAUAGAAUGUACAAUUACUUUCCGAUAUCGCGGGUUCUCAUCGGGACCGCCAUCGUUCGAAAUAAUAAGGACAGGCUUCGUUUUUCAUUAAUUUACCAAAAGGCUGAAGAGUUAAAAGAGUGUCCAAGUCUUCAGCGUGACUAGUUGCAGUCGAAGACGAGUGCUUACCACUUCGGAUUGCUAUAUAUGUUGGUCCACUAUAUGAGACGGCUUCUGGCCGCCCCAUCUCAUUCGGUUUUACCUCACACAAAGCAUAGACACUCGGGAUCAAUUUAUGUCUUGCAGUAAUUAUAAAGUCGCGAUCUGGUAACGACACUUUAUACUCAACGUGCAUUAGCAAAGGCGCCUGUUUGUUUGCUGUUGUCAAUCCUAUGGGGACCCAUACUUUGUCAUCUUGGGAUAAAAAAGACAUAGAAUCAGGGCCAAGUAUUGAGGCUACAGUUUCUAGUGACCUUAUGGAAGCUACAGAAAAGUAUUGGUCUUGGUGCGCUUUAUGAUGGUCUGCUUCAGGACGACUCAACUUCACCGUUACAGUCACUACGUGGUGCUUAGCCUACCGCGUAUCUGCCCGUCUAGGCAACAGUCGAAUGUAAGCGGCGCUUCGAGAAAUAUUAAAUCCCAGCUCGAUAAGUUUUUCAGUGAGCAGCUCUAAAAGACUAUGGACACUAGGAACAAUUUCACAGCGACUCCGUUUCAGACUGCUCUUCCUCCAAGCGCGGACGUCUAGAGCUUGCUCGAGGUAUCAACGAUUUUGCUGCUCCAGGAUUUUUAGAACACAAUUCGAUAAUUUUUAUUUUUUCUAUGCUUCAUCGAGUAUACUCUUUGGUUCUCCUUAGGUUUGAGCUGUUUUUCAAAAUUAUCAAUUUCUUGCCGCAACUUCUCAUCUCAGAUCGUCGCUGAAUUUUCCGUUUUGUAGCACCUGUAGGGGAAAGAAAAAAUAAAGAAAAUGUCGCACAUACAAAAAAAAGGUAAACACUAACCUGCCAGUUGAGGUUCAUUAUCGUAAUCUUGAUCCAUGAGCCGCUGAUUACAGUGAGAAAUCUCAUUUUGAGUCACUGAUUCCUCAUUUUGAAUAAUCUUGAUGUUAAUUUCAGUUUAACUCGCGCAUUCUAAGUUUGACAUACCUUGAGCGCUUGUAUCAACUUGUGUUGAAACAUUAUUAGAGCUCCGAGUGUUUCCCUUGAAUAAAUAUAUCAUUAUAAAGACUCAAGAUUCACGAAUUAGAGACGUUUAGAACAAAAUUAUGCAUUUUUUAACUUUCCGCUAAGAUCUAUAUUUUUUUCUCCUCAGCACAAUCUCGAAAUAUAUUGUACAUAAAAUUAAAUUUCUCCUAUUUCUUAUUUCUUAGACCUUUUGAUAUAUCAAUGCAUUUAAAUUUUCUGAUUUUAGGUCUUUAAAAUAGCUAAAGAACAUAAAAUCAAGAACAUUUAGAUGAAUUAAAAUUAAAUUUAUAGCAUAAAUAAAUAAAUAGAGGUAUCUAACCUACCUUAGAGAGAGAGACCUUUUUUUCCGCUGCUGAUCAAUCUCAUGCUGAAUAUGUUUCACCAAAUCUUCUUUCUUUGGAUACUUUUGUUUUGCUGUGUUCCAUAACUUUACCACUUCUUCUUGACAGCAUUUCUUUGUCUUGUAGAUGUGUCUUUUAACGUAAGCAUUAUAAUAUUCUUGAAAACUCAUGUUUAAUCAUUAAAAUAGUAUCAAAAAAGUUGUUAAAUAAAAUAUUUGCGGGCAUCAACAAAGCAGGUUAUAGCACUUGUACUUGCGUCGUUGUUACUCGGCUCUUUACGCUGCGACAUUCAUCGAGUCGAGCGUAUCGAUACGGCUGGUCGAAAGCACAUAAACAAUCUGGGAGCUAUUGUGCUACUUUGCGGAGUUCGGGGUAGUACGACAAACACCAUUGUGUAAAAUUUCGCAUAUAUUUUUAUUCUAGAAAAAUUUCUUACUUCAAUUUAACUUUACUUUCACACAAUUCUACAUGGUUUUCUAUUGAAAAAAAAAAUACGUGAUAUUUGUUGAAACCUCCCUCUCCCCAAGUGAGAUCUGGAAAGAUUUAACUUGACCCCCUCCCCCUUUGAACACCUCACGGAACUUAUGGACGCCACCAAAGACCGUGGCAAAUAUUAUUUUCUGACUUUUUUGAUUACCAGUCCAAAAGCUAUUUGUUAAUUGUUGACAGCUACUCUCAUUGGUUGAAAGUUUUUCCUAUCCAAAAUAAAAAAGCUUUUUCUAUGAUCAAGCAUUGUAAGGAUUUGUUUUCUAAAUUUGGUGUUCCUGAUAUCUUCUAUGCUGAUAAUGUUCCCUAUAACAGUAUAGAAUUUAGAAAUUUUACUAAAUCAUAGAAUUUUGAUUUGGAAUUUUCUGUCCUUUUUUAUCACCAGUCAAAUAGUUUUGCAGAGAUAUAUGAAUGAAUAUCUCUAAAAACAUGAUUAAAAAAUGUAUAAUGUUUUCGAUGCAUCGAUUUAUAUCGAAUAUCCCUAGUCCUGUCAAGAGAUAGAAAAAAGAAGAAGAUAGCAAAGUGAUAAAAAACAUGGUAGCUUGAAAACCUGAUAAUGAAAGUGCUAAUAAAUAAAACUACUAGUUAAUAAAUAUGUUUUUAAUAAAUCAUAUAAAAAAAGAAAUUGAACAAUAAACAACGAAACAACAUGAAACAGUUGAUUGACUUGUAUGCAAAAUACAGGAAUGAAGUUGGUACUUUCAAAGUAAAAAUGGUUAAAAUUAUGAAGCUGAAGAAAGCCACAGAGUUUAAAAAUAUUAGCAUCCAAAUAACACCAACAUUAUGAAUUAGUGAAAGGUAGUAGAAAGAAGCUUCAGUACAUAUGCGGAUAACCAGAAUGAAACAGGUUGAAGUAGUAACUUGAAACUGAUUUGCCGACUAAGAUGUUAAAAUGCAAAUAGUAGAAAACAAGAUUAAUCGCAUUGAGUAUUUGCUCUUUGGAUGGAUCGAUAUGACUUGAUAAUCUUACUAAUCUCCUUUUAUUCAAUAUGUAGUAAGAAAGCUGCAAAUAAUUAUUUGUAUAGCUUCAGUACAAAUGUGCGCUCUGAGGUCGAGAGUUGGUUUCCUUCGAUUAAUUUCCUUCCAGACUCCAAAAUACAAGAACAAUGAAAAGGAAUUGACCGGCUGACUUAAGAAAUGGUUAAAAUGGACUGGAGAAGUCAUUAAAACGAUAGAUAGGAGCAAAAAAUGGAUUCCCUAUGUAAAAAUCAAGUUCAUUUCCUCCAAGGAAACCAAAAAAGAAUUGACCGGUUGGCUUAAGAAAUGGUUAAAAUGGAUUAGAAAAGUCCUUAUCACGAUAGAUGAGAGCAAAAAAUGGAUUCAUUAUGUAAAUUUGUACCGUUUGAAGGUGUUUUGGAGGUUAGUAUAUUUCCUGUGAUCUCAUAUUUUUAUUCUUAGUUCUUUCAUUAGCUCUAUUCACCAUAGUUUUUUCUCAGUUUUCAAUGGUGUAGUGUACAUGUCUUCAUUCUUAUAAUAUAUACAUAUCAAUUCAGCUGUAUCUUGUCUAAAUUUUUAUUGAUUUUUGUUUUAAUUAUUUUUCAAUUUCUAUAUUCUUUGUUUUAUCCUGAUUAAUUUUCUUUCGAAUGUUUAAUUAUCAUUGGGUUAAGAUAUGUUUUCUCUUUAUUGUCAUAUAUUCUGCUGUGUAGGUUAUAGUUGGUACUGUUGUAAAUUUAUUUGUUCUUUCAGCUGGUUUUCUGUCUUUUGUUGGUACCAUACUAAGGUAUCCUUAUGUCGUUAUUCUCCGUGAAGUUUUAGCUUCAGAUUUGGUUUCUUUUGAUUUACAUUUAUUAUUUCAACUUUAGUUUUGUCAUUUUUCUUAUUUCUAAGGAUCAGACAUCCAUUAAUUUUUGGAUUCUAUUUUUAAAAUUUACUAUAACAUUAUAUCGUCUGCAAAUAUCAGCAUUUUUAUAGGUUAUGUUUUUAUAUUCAAUUGUAUUCAGAUCUUCACAUUUUUUUAAUAUAUUUGAAUCUAUCUCUCCUAGGAGUGACCAUCCCAAAUGAUCUUGCGGGCCAAGAAAAUAGAAAAAAAAGCCAAUCUGUAUACAAAUAAUACAAUAAGUUAUUGUGUUGAUAUUUCGGCGAGCCACACAUAAAAUUAUAUUAGUAUUAGGGGCGUUCUACUUUUCUACCGACAAUCUGAGUGAUAAAUUUUUUGAUUUUUUAAAAAAAUAAAAGUGUAUUUCUUUUAUAAUAUGUAUUUUUACAUCAUUGUCCAGUUAUCAAAGAUUUCAUAAAUGUAUAAUGCAUCGAAGUUUUAUUUUAUAUCUUUUAUUUAUUUUAAGUUUUAUCGGAAUAGUAAGAAAAAAUAAACACCUCAGUCACAAAAAAAAA